rnacentral:rRNA from 1 species
GUGCCAGCAGCCGCGGUAAGACGUAGGGCGCGAGCGUUGUCCGGAUUUAUUGGGCGUAAAGAGCUCGUAGGCGGCUUGUCGCGUCGACUGUGAAAACCCGCGGCUCAACUGUGGGCUUGCAGUCGAUACGGGCAGGCUGGAGUUCGGUAGGGGAGACUGGAAUUCCUGGUGUAGCGGUGAAAUGCGCAGAUAUCAGGAGGAACACCGGUGGCGAAGGCGGGUCUCUGGGCCGAUACUGACGCUGAGGAGCGAAAGCGUGGGGAGCGAACAGGAUUAGAAACCCCCGUAGUCC